rnacentral:rRNA from 1 species
AGUGAACGCUGGCGGCAUGCCUAACACAUGCAAGUCGAACGGAAACACAGUAAGCGCUUGCUCCUACGGGUGGCGGGUGGCGGACGGGUGAGGAAUACAUCGGCAUCUACUUUUUCGUGGGGGAUAACGUGGGGCAACAUCCGCUACUAUCGCAUAAGACCAACGGGUGAAAGCACGGGAUCUUUGGGCCUUGCGCGUUUGAAUGAGCCGAUGUCGGAUUAGCUAGUUGGCGGGGUAAAGGCCCACCAAGGCGACGAUCCGUAGCUGGUCUGAGAGGAUGAUCAGCCACACUGGAACUGAGACACGGUCCAGACUCCUACGGGAGGCAGCAGUGGGGAAUAUUGGACAAUGGGCGCAAGCCUGAUCCAGCCAUACCGCGUGAGUGAAGAAGGCCUUCGGGUUGUAAAGCCCUUUUGUUAGGAAAGAAAAGCUGUAUGUUAAUACCCGGCGGUACUGACGGUACCCAAAGAAUAAGCACCGGCUAACUACGUG